UCCCAGUAGCAAAUCUUACAACUCACUGGUGAACGCUUUAGCUUUGGGUGGAGAGGUAGAAAAUGCAGUAAAAUUAUUGCGGGAGAUGAAUGACAAUCAACGAUCAGUUGACUUCAUUACGUACAAGACAGUGGCUGAUGAAAUAUGCCGGCAACAGAGUGUACAUAAUGCUAUGAGUUUUUUGAAGGAGUUGCAUGACAAGGAUCUUAUCGAUGGCCAUACUUAUAAGAAGCUUUCAUAUGAACUUGAAGACAAUUAUCCCAAUUCCCAAGACAAGCGUGGGCGUGGAAAAUUGUUAUAGCGGUGGUAAUGAUUCCUUUCUUCAUGAAAUUCUGCCAACUAAGCCACUAGGUUCAUCCGUAGACUCAUUAGAAAAUCACUUUACACAUCUCAAAUGGUGUUUGAACUGAAGAUUGGAUUUCAUUAGGCUUGGUGGGUUGCGGUUCAAAGUGGUCCUGCAACUCGUAAUGGGUGGAAAACAGGCUAUCGUUUGCAAUCUAAUGAUGGUGGCUUGGAUUCAUUGGCUAGCCUGUGGGAACUGAUACAGUGUUCGCGUAUUGUUCGGCAUCACUGCUUUGGAUGAAUGGCAAUAAAUCCAGUAAAGUCGAGUCCAGAAAGAUCUGAUGGACCCUUUCUCUUUUCCUCUGCAACUUUGUUGGUUGUGUGGGAGCUUGGAUUGUGUGGAGCUAAGUUGGUUGUGAUAAAUUACAUAUCUUGUUGAAUGCUCUCCCAUAAACUUUUUGGUGAUCCAUAUCUACAAGUUGCCAUGUUUCUAUAGAUGAUGCUGAGAAACAUUUUUCUUUUUUGGAAAAUACUACAUGCACUCCCUUUUCUUACUCCCAACUUGUACUUUCUUUCACAAAUUCUUGAUGUAGACA